rnacentral:rRNA from 1 species
UACGAGGGGGGCGAGCGUUGUUCGGAAUUAUUGGGCGUAAAGGGUGCGUAGGCGGUUUGGUAAGUCUUGUGUGAAAUCUCCAGGCUCAACUUGGAGUCUGCACGAGAAACUGCCGGGCUUGAGUGUGGGAGAGGUGAGUGGAAUUCCUGGUGUAGCGGUGAGAUGCGUAGAUAUCAGGAGGAACACCUGUGGCGAAAGCGGCGCACUGGACCACAACUGACGCUGAGGCGCGAAAGCUAGGGGAGCAAACAGG